rnacentral:tRNA from 1 species
AACCGUUUAGGCGUAGUAGCGUUAUAGGUUUAGGACCUGGAGGAGAUUAUAUCAAACGAUA